rnacentral:snRNA from 1 species
UUUCUCAUUUGACAGCAUAUAUACUAAAAUUAGAUGACACAGAGAAGGUUGGCAUACUCCUUGUGCAGAGAUGACACAAAAAUCCAUCAGUGUUACAUACAUUUU